UGACAUAGCCAAGCGGCAAGGCAGAGGACUACAAAUCCUCCAUCCCCAAUUCAAAUCUGGGUGUCA
rnacentral:tRNA from 1 species